CCUACGGGUGGCUGCAGUGGGGAAUAUUGGACAAUGGGGGCAACCCUGAUCCAGCCAUGCCGCGUGUGUGAAGAAGGCCCUCGGGUUGUAAAGCACUUUCAGUGAGGAAGAACGCCUGGUGGUUAAUACCCAUCAGGAAAGACAUCACUCACAGAAGAAGCACCGGCUAACUCCGUGCCAGCAGCCGCGGUAAUACGGAGGGUGCGAGCGUUAAUCGGAAUUACUGGGCGUAAAGCGCGCGUAGGUGGCUUGAUAAGCCGGUUGUGAAAGCCCCGGGCUCAACCUGGGAACGGCAUCCGGAACUGUCAAGCUAGAGUGCAGGAGAGGAAGGUAGAAUUCCCGGUGUAGCGGUGAAAUGCGUAGAGAUCGGGAGGAAUACCAGUGGCGAAGGCGGCCUUCUGGACUGACACUGACACUGAGGUGCGAAAGCGUGGGUAGCAAACAGGAUUAGAUAUCCGUGUAGUC
rnacentral:rRNA from 1 species